UGUUGAAAGGAAACGAUGGUAGCUUGACAUACCCACUGCGUCUAGCGUGCUGGUACAGGUGGUGAUGUAAUACUUAUGCGAAGNCUACCUAGUAGUGGGGGAUAGCACUGGGGAAACUCGUAUUAAUACCGCAUUACGACCUACGGGAGAAAGGGGGCAGUUUACUGCUCUCGCUAUUAGAUGAGCCUCAAGUCGAGAAUUAGCUAGAGUGGCUGGGGUAAAGGCCUACCAUGGCGACGAUCUGUAGCUGGUCUGAGAGGAUGAUCAGCCACACCGGGACUGAGACAGCGGCCCGGACUCCUACGGGAGGCAUGCAGUGGGGAAUAUUGGACAAUGGGGGAAACCCUGAUCCAGCCAUGCCGCGUGUGUGAAGAAGGACUUUUGGUUGUAAAGCACUUUAAGCAGUGAAGAAGACUCCGUGGUUAAUACCCACGGACGAUGACAUUAGCUGCAGAAUAAGCACCGGCUAACUCUGUGCCAGCAGCCGCGGUAAUACAGAGGGUGCAAGCGUUAAUCGGAAUUACUGGGCGUAAAGCGAGCGUAGGUGGCUUGAUAAGUCAGAUGUGAAAUCCCCGGGCCUUAACCUGGGGAACUGCAUUCUGAAACUGUUAGGCUAGGAGUAGGUGAGAGGGAAGUAGAAUUUCGGUGUAGCGGUGAAAUGCGUAGAGAUCUGAGGAAUACGGUGGCGAAGGCAGUUCCUGGCUUCUUCUGACCUGAGGCUCNAAG
rnacentral:rRNA from 1 species